AUCGACAGUGGCCUAUGUCUUUUCCACCCUUUUUGAUGAUCUCUUGAACUCUUUAUCAACUCAGGGUUCUUGGAGUUAAGAUCCUCUUAAUAACUCCUGCCUUGGUAUCCCAAUUACCCUCUGCUUCUCCCGGUAUCUAACAACCUCCUCCAAGACUCUAUAGGGGACUUCCAUUCUCUCGCCAUCCAAGGUCGUCUUCGACUCAUGGCCUGGGCGAUUUCAGG